rnacentral:rRNA from 1 species
GUUCGAAGCGGAGAACUUAAGCCCCAGUAAACGGCGGUGGUAACUAUAACCAUCCUAAGGUAGCGAAAUUCCUUGUCGGGUAAGUUCCGACCUGCACGAAUGGAGUAACGACUUGGGCGCUGUCUCAACCGUGGACUCGGCGAAAUUGCACUACGAGUAAAGAUGCUCGUUACGCGCGGCAGGACGGAAAGACCCCGGGACCUUUACUAUAGUUUGGUAUUGGUGUUUGGUUCGGCUUGUGUAGGAUAGGUGGGAGACUGUGAAGCAUUCACGCCAGUGGGUGUGGAGUCAUCGUUGAAAUACCACUCUGGUCGUACUAGAUGUCUAACCUAGGUCCGUAAUCCGGAUCAGGGACAGUGCCUGAUGGGUAGUUUAACUGGGGCGGUUGCCUCCUAAAAUGUAACGGAGGCGCUCAAAGGUUCCCUCAGCCUGGUUGGCAAUCAGGUGGCGAGUGUAAGUGCACAAGGGAGCUUGACUGUGAGACAGACAUGUCGAGCAGGGACGAAAGUCGGAACUAGUGAUCCGGCCACGGCAUGUGGAAGCGUGGUCGCUCAACGGAUAAAAGGUACCCCGGGGAUAACAGGCUGAUCUUCCCCAAGAGUCCAUAUCGACGGGAUGGUUUGGCACCUCGAUGUCGGCUCGUCGCAUCCUGGGGCUGGAGCAGGUCCCAAGGGUUGGGCUGUUCGCCCAUUAAAGCGGCACGCGAGCUGGGUUUAGAACGUCGUGAGACAGUUCGGUCCCUAUCCGCCGCGCGCGCAGGAAACUUGAGAAAGGCUGUCCCUAGUACGAGAGGACCGGGAUGGACGAACCUCUGGUGUGCCAGUUGUCCCGCCAGGGGCACGGCUGGUUAGCUACGUUCGGAAGUGAUAACCGCUGAAUGCAUCUAAGCGGGAAGCACGUUUCAAGAUGAGGUUUCCCACCACGUUAAGUGGGUAAGGCCCCCAGCAGAACACUGGGUUGAUAGGCCGGAGGUGUACAGCAGUAAUGCCUAGCCGACCGGUACUAAUAGGCCGAGGGCUUGUCCCACAA